rnacentral:rRNA from 1 species
UGCGUUNUGAACUGGGUAGCUAGAGUAUNUCAGAGGGGGGUAGAAUUCCACGUGUAGCAGUGAAAUGCGUAGAGAUGUGGAGGAAUACNGACGGCGAAGGCAGCCCCCUGGGAUAAUACUGACGUUCAUGCUCGAAAGCGUGGGUAGCAAACAGGAUUAGAUACCCUGGUAGUCCACGCCCUAAACGAUGUCGAUUAGCUGUUGGGCAACUUGAUUGCUUAGUAGCGUAGCUAACGCGUGAAAUCGACCGCCUGGGGAGUACGGCCGCAAGAUUAAAACUCAAAGGAAUUGACGGGGACCCGCACAAGCGGUGGAUGAUGUGGAUUAAUUCGAUGCAACGCGAAGAACCUUACCUGGUCCUGACAUGUACGGAAGAACUCAGAGACGAGUUUGUGCCUUCGGGAGCCGUAACACAGGUGCUGCAUGGCUGUCGUCAGCUCGUGUCGUGAGAUGUUGGGUUNNNNNNNNCAACGAGCGCAACCCUUGUCAUUAGUUGCCAUCAUUUAGUUGGGCACUCUAAUGAGACUGCCGGUGACAAACCGGAGGAAGGUGGGGAUGACGUCAAGUCCUCAUGGCCCUUAUGACCAGGGCUUCACACGUCAUACAAUGGUCGGUACAGAGGGUAGCCAAGCCGCGAGGUGGAGCCAAUCCCAGAAAACCGAUCGUAGUCCGGAUUGCACUCUGCAACUCGAGUGCAUGAAGUCGGAAUCGCUAGUAAUCGCAGGUCAGCAUACUGCGGUGAAUACGUUCCCGGGUCU